rnacentral:piRNA from 1 species
UGCUGUCAGUGACUAGUUUGUAUUGGU